rnacentral:lncRNA from 1 species
UCUGCACCGUGCAUGCAGGUGGGGCGGCGCGGAUCUGCACGGUGCAUGCAGGCGGUGCUGCGGGGCUGCAGGGUGCAUGCAUCGGGGCUGCAGGGCUGCAAGGUGCAUGCAGCGGUGCUGCGGGGCUGCAGGGUGCAUGCAUCGGGGCUGCAAGGUGCAUGCAUUGGUGCUGUGCACGUCUGCAUCGUGCACGCAUCAGGGCUGCAGAGCUGCAAGGUGCGUGCACUGGUGCCGUGCAGAUCUGCACUGUGCGUGCUCUGGUGCUGCAAAUACGCAAGGUGCGUGCGCUGGUGCUG